rnacentral:rRNA from 1 species
GUGGGGAAUCUUCCGCAAUGGACGAAAGUCUGACGGAGCAACGCCGCGUGAGUGAUGAAGGUCUUCGGAUUGUAAAGCUCUGUUAAUCGGGACGAAAGAGCCUAGUGUGAAUAAUGCUAGGAAGUGACGGUACCGGAAUAGAAAGCCACGGCUAACUACGUGCCAGCAGCCGCGGUAAUACGUAGGUGGCAAGCGUUGUCCGGAAUUAUUGGGCGUAAAGCGCGCGAAGGCGGAUCUGCCAGUCUGUCUUAAAAGUUCGGGGCUUAACCCCGUGAGGGGAUGGAAACUACAGAUCUAGAGUAUCGGAGAGGAAAGUGGAAUUCCGAGUGUAGCGGUGAAAUGCGUAGAUAUUAGGAAGAACACCAGUGGCGAAGGCGACUUUCUGGACGAAAACUGACGCUGAGGCGCGAAAGCCAGGGGAGCGAACGGGAUUAGAUACUCGAGUAGUCC